UACGGAGGGUGCAAGCGUUAUCCGGAUUCACUGGGUUUAAAGGGUGCGUAGGUGGUUUUGUAAGUCAGUGGUGAAAUCUCCGUGCUUAACAUGGAAAACUGCCAUUGAUACUAUAGAUCUUGAAUUUUCUGGAGGAUAGCGGAAUAUGUCAUGUAGCGGUGAAAUGCUUAGAUAUGACAUAGAACACCAAUUGCGAAGGCAGCUAUCUACAGGGAUAUUGACACUGAGGCACGAAAGCGUGGGGAUCAAACAGG
rnacentral:rRNA from 1 species